rnacentral:rRNA from 1 species
AACGCACCUUGCGCUCCUUGGUAUUCCGAGGAGCAUGCCUGUUUGAGUGUCAUUUAAUUCUCAACCAUCCCUCGAUUCGUUUCGAGGGUUUGGCUUGGAUUUUGGGGGCUGCCGGGCGACCCUAGGGUCUUCGGCUCUCCUUAAAAGCAUUAGCGAUGGCGGCGCGAUCUAACCCCCAUGCAUGAACGGCCUUCGACGUGAUAAUGAUCGUCGUGGCUGGAGUGUUGUUAGUGGGUGUCGUGAAGUCGGCGCUUCUAAAGACCUCGUCGAAAGACGAAAACUCGAAACUUGACCUCAAAUCAGGUAGGACUACCCGCUGAACUUAA